rnacentral:rRNA from 1 species
UACAGAGGGUGCGAGCGUUGUCCGGAAUCACUGGGCGUAAAGGGCGCGUAGGUGGCCCGACAAGUCCGUGGUGAAAGCGUCGACGCUCAACGUCGAGUCGGCCAUGGAUACUGUUGGGCUGGAGCACUGUAGAGGCUCAUGGAAUUCCGGGUGUAGCGGUGGAAUGCGUAGAGAUCCGGAAGAACACCGGUGGCGAAGGCGGUGAGCUGGGCAGU